AACGCACCUUGCACCCUUUGGUAUUCCGAAGGGUAUGCCUGUUUGAGUGUCAUUGUAAUCAUCAACUGAAAGGUUUAUUCCAUUCAGCUUGGAUUUGGAGGUUUUGCUGGCUGCAAGGUCAGCUCCUCUUAAAUGUAUUAGCAGUGCUUUGUAGAAUCAGCUUCGGUUUGAUAGGAAUAUCUAUGCUGUCGCUGAGGAACGAAUAGUACAGCUUCUAAUUGUCUUCGGACUGUCUUUAACUAGGCAUACAAUUGACUCUUGACCUCAAAUCAGGUAGGACUACCCGCUGAACUUAA
rnacentral:misc_RNA from 1 species